GGUAGUGGUACAUCACUGGGUAGUGGUACAUCACUGGGUAGUGGUACAUCACUGGGUAGUUACAUCACUGGGUAGUGGGUACGGCCCAGUACAUCACUGGGUAGUGGUACAUCACUGGGUAGUGGUACAUCACUGGGUAGUUACAUCACUGGGUAGUGGUACAUCACUGGGUAGUGGUACAUCACUGGGUAGUGGUACAUCACUGGGUAGUGGUACAUCACUGGGUAGUUACAUCACUGGGUAGUGGUACAUCACUGGG